rnacentral:rRNA from 1 species
CCUACGGGUGGCAGCAGUGAGGAAUAUUGGUCAAUGGGCGCGAGCCUGAACCAGCCAAGUAGCGUGAAGGAUGACUGCCCUACGGGUUGUAAACUUCUUUUAUAAAGGAGUAAAGUGAGGCACGUGUGCCUUUUUGUAUGUACUUUAUGAAUAAGGAUCGGCUAACUCCGUGCAAGCAGCCGCGGUAAUACGGAGGAUCCGAGCGUUAUCCGGAUUUAUUGGGUUUAAAGGGUGCGUAGAUGGGUUGUUAAGUCAGUUGUGAAAGUUUGGGGCUCAACCGUAAAAUUGCAAUUGAUACUGGCAGCCUUGAGUACAGGUGAGGUAGGCGGAAUUCGUGGUGUAGCGGUGAAAUGCGUAGAUAUCACGAAGAACACCGAUUGCGAAGGCAGCCUACUAAACUGCCACUGACAUUGAGGCUCGAAAGUGUGGGUAGCAAACAGGAUUAGAUACCCCAGUAGUC